rnacentral:rRNA from 1 species
UACGGGGGGGGCAAGCGUUGUUCGGAAUUACUGGGCGUAAAGGGCUCGUAGGCGGCCAACUAAGUCAGACGUGAAAUCCCUCGGCUUAACCGGGGAACUGCAUCUGAUACUGGAUGGCUUGAGAUUGGGAGAGGGAUGCGGAAUUCCAGGUGUAGCGGUGAAAUGCGUAGAUAUCAGGAGGAACACCAAUGGCGAAGGCAGCUCGCUGGAACGGUACUGACGCUGAGGCGCGAAAGCGUGGGGAGCGAACAGG